rnacentral:rRNA from 1 species
AGCAGCCGCGGUAAUUCCAGCUCCAAUAGCGUAUAUUAAAGUUGCUGCAGUUAAAAAGCUCGUAGUUGAAUUUCGGGACCAAUAUGUCGGUCGUGCUUAGGUACGUACUGGCAUCGUUGGUUUCUCCUUUCUGAAGAACCAUGAUGUCAUUUAUUUGGUGUCGUGGGGAAUCAGGACUGUUACUUUGAAAAAAUUAGAGUGUUUAAAGCAGGCUCACGCUUGAAUACAUUAGCAUGGAAUAAUGAAAUAGGACGUUUGAUUCUAUUUUGUUGGUUUCUAGGAUCGACGUAAUGAUUAAUAGGGAUAGUUGGGGGCAUUAGUAUUCAAUUGUCAGAGGUGAAAUUCUUGGAUUUAUUGAAGACUAACUACUGCGAAAGCAUUUGCCAAGGAUGUUUUCAUUAAUCAAGAACGAAAGUUAGGGGAUCGAAGACGAUCAGAUACCGUCGUAGU